GAUCCUGGCUCAGGAUGAACGCUAGCUACAGGCUUAACACAUGCAAGUCGAGGGGCAGCAUGGUCUUAGCUUGCUAAGGCCGAUGGCGACCGGCGCACGGGUGAGUAACACGUAUCCAACCUGCCGUCUACUCUUGGACAGCCUUCUGAAAGGAAGAUUAAUACAAGAUGGCAUCAUGAGUUCACAUGUCCGCAUGAUUAAAGGUAUUUUCCGGUAGACGAUGGGGA
rnacentral:rRNA from 1 species